UACGAAGGGGGGCUAGCGUUGCUCGGAAUGACUGGGCGUAAAGGGCGCGUAGGCGGUUUGUACAGUCAGGUGUGAAAUUCCCGGGCUCAACCUGGGGGCUGCACUUGAUACGUAUGGACUGGAGUGGGGAAGAGGGUCGUGGAAUUCCCAGUGUAGAGGUGAAAUUCGUAGAUAUUGGGAAGAACACCGGUGGCGAAGGCGGCCAUCUGGACCGCAACUGACGCUGAGGCGCGAAAGCCAGGGGAGCAAAGCGGG
rnacentral:rRNA from 1 species